rnacentral:lncRNA from 1 species
CAAGUAACCUCCUUGUUAUCUUCUACCUUGUAAGUUCUGUGUUACCAUUGCCACCAUUCAUUAGCUUCCCCUUGCAUGUGAUAGGAGGCUAAUGAAACCUUCUCGUUGUCUGGCGUGGCUUGAAAAUCAAAAAAUUGAUUGGCUUUUGCUAGCCAUUCGGUUGGAUCAGUACCGGAGUACCUCGGGAAUUCAAGCUUGGCCAAUUUUGACGAGAACAUUGGCUUUCCUCCUGUGGCCGAUUCUGCACGGUUGCCGCCUUGUUGAACUGAUUUUUCCCGAAAGUUGCUGCUUCCACCUUCUCGGCUUGACAGGACUGUUUCAGAAAGUUUGGUCAUCAUAUCUUCCAGGUAUUGCAAUUUGCUAGUAACCCCAGUUUCCAUUCGACCAACAACAUCUUGAAGCUACCCUAGUCCUGUUUCAAGGUUCUCGAUUCGUUCCUUGUUAGUCGUCAUAAGGAAUAAGAAAGAAUAGCAAGAAGAAAGAAGAGAGGGAAAAAAAAAAUCAGGCUCUGAUACCAAUGUUAGAUGGUCCCAAUCAGAGUAAGAAUGUAAGAAUAAUAAUUUUCUGCUUAUGGUGAGAAAAGAAAACCAGUAAUGAAUUUAAGAAUUUGCUCCCCUUUAUUAAUGAAUAGCAGUAAUAUAUAUACUGCAGAAAAAUAAUAACUUCUCUACAAAUAAGGAUGAAAGCAAAACAAACAAGUAGUGCUAAAUCAAUAAAAUCAAAUAACAGAAUCAAAGUAGAAUCAAAUAACAACUAUUUUAGGCAAGUCAAGCAAGCCGCAGCAGUAACUCAGUCAAGAUAUUUGGAAUUGAUCUUCGGCAACCGACUG